AGAGGCUUUAACUGAAGAGGAGAGGGUUUGGUGUGAUCUCCCCCGCGAUGCUAGUGGUACGCCCCGACCAAGAUGGCGGCCGCCGACCGAAAGAAGGGGAGCGCGGGAACGGCAGGCAGGAAGCCCUGAGGCCAAGGUGAAACAAGGUGCCACCACACCUGGUCCCCAGGAUGGGGGAGUGGCAUAAGAUCUUCCGCCAAAGCCUAACCGUGCCUCCCCGUAACGUCCGGAGGCCGAAUUUGCCACUCCAGCGAUCGGUGCCAUUUCAGUGCGUCUUGAAGAGCGUGCACGGGAGUGCCUUGAAACAAAAAGUUCUUGAAAGCAUGGUGGAGGUAGCCUUCCAGCUGCGCCUUUCGCUCUUCGAUGUGGCCUACCACCAGUUCUUUGGCAGGACCUGGAGAAGCACCCCAAGGCCUCUGAAAUCCGUCCCAGGGCAGCCACCCUCUGUGGUCUUCAACGAGACGGUGUAUUUCCACACGUCUUUGGGUCACCCCGGUGUCUUGAUGGUGCUAGAGAUCGUGGCGACCGCCAAGGGACAGGGCAUGGCCCCCCAGGAACUCGGCUGUGGCUUCGGGCUCCUCCGGUUGUUUAACGGCAAAUCCGAGCCGGUGAUUUGGAACUCGACGGGCAAAGGGCUUGCUUUGUAUCAGGGGACCCCCCGCGCUCUCCUGCACCCACUGCUCCUGGAGCCCAUAGAGAAGAACAAGUACCUGACAGUGAUGGAAAACAGCCACCUGCAGUGCACCCUGCAGCUCCACCCACCCUUGGAGGUCAUUUACCAUCUCCUGCCCGAGAACACCCCCGUGUCCCGUGGGGAGAGGGUCCCUGGGGUCUUAGCAGCACCUGAAGGAGACUUUUUGCAGAAGCCCCGACUCAUGAAGACGCAGACCUGGUACCUGGACAGGCUGGCUGUCCACCUGUACCCUUCCCUGGAGAGGUUUGAGGAGGAGCUCCUGAGCCUGCUGAUGAACGAGCAGGCUAAUUCGAUCCUGGACGGGACCUCCCUCAUGAUCCAGGAGCGCCGGCUACACAUUGGCGUCCACAACGGCUUGUGCUUCGUGCAGCCCCCCCAGGUGGUGGUGGUGGUCCCCGUGGCAUUGCCAGAGGCCGAUAGAGCUCGGGGAAGCGCCGACAGCGUGCGCCGGAAACAAGGAAGUCCCUUCAAGAGCAGUGCCGAGGGACAAGCUCUCAUCCUGCGAAGCCGCAUCCACCUGGCUGAGAUGGUGCCUCACCCAGCUUUUGGAGUGGUCUUCCUGUUGGAAUAUGUCUUCUCUGUUGCAAGUGGACCUGAUGGGAAGACACCCUCAAUGACCUCCUUGACGGCUGCAGCCUACAUGCACUCGGUCCGCUGGGCCCUUUGGCAGCCUGUUCUGGAUGCAAAUCCCGCGGACGUGGUCCUUCCCUUGCGAGGCGGAGCCCAGCUGAACCCCCACCACGUCCUGGUUUAUAAGACCCCUCCGGACAUCAUGAGCUCUGAAGAGGUGAAGCAGGUCGAAUCGGGCAUCCUGGCGUUUCAGUUCUCCACCAGCUCCGAGGAACGACUGGGAACGGCCGCCAAGCCUCCGGGCGUCAAGAGAGGAACGAGGGUGCCAUCGGUCCAGUCGCCCGGUUCACCUCCUUCCGUCCAGAUGUUGGUUUCUACUCAGGAUUAUACGCAGGGCCCCGGGUUGUCGAUGUCCGAAUUGUCGGCGUCCCCAAUAAAGAGGACCGUCCAGACUUUGCAGCAGCCGGUCAGCGAUGCUGAGCCGUCCCAGGACAGUCUUCAGCCAGCCGGAGAGCUUGUUCGGAUCCUCCCUUUUCCUUCCCUCCCCUCCCAGCCGGAGCAGAGUCAAGCAGGCAUCGCUCACCUGGAGUCCGACUUGAGCUACGGCCCCCAACUUGAGGAUUCGUCCCUGGUGGACCAGCUGCAGGAGCUGCCCUUCACGCCGGCCCACAUGCCCAUCCUGGCCCUCGGAGGAGCACCUUGGCGCAGCCCGAACACUGGCCCCACCCGGGCCUCGCUUGCUCGCCUGCGCACGGCCGGAUUCCCGGAGCUUCUGGAUUGCAACAAGGAGCCGGUGGAGAUGCUGGAUCCCAGCGAUCCCACCCCCUGCAGCCCCCAGCAGGAAGGAGCCGACCUCCUGCCAGACCACGAGAUCCACCUGCAGUUCCUGGCCUUGAGCAGACCUGCCCAGGACAGCCCUGCCACCUGGCCCCAAAGCAUCUACUUCACCUUCCAGUUUUACCGCUUCCCCCCGGUCACCACGCCACGGCUGCAGCUGGUCCAGACUCAGGCCUGUGGGCCAGCGACCCACAUCCUGGCGCAAAUCAACCCGGACGGGAGCCCCAAUCUCGCGCCCCCUGGCUUCCACCUGAAGUACGCGGUGGACGUGGCCUCCCUCAAGCCAGGAGAGCCGCACUGGUUCCUCCACUACCUAGCCCAGCAUUCCCUGCAGAUCGACGUCUGGGACGGGGACUCGCUGCUUCUGCUGGGAUCUGCUGCCGUCAAGCUGAAGCACCUGCUCCGCCGAGGCCGUCCGGCCGUCCAGGUCUGCCACGAGUUGGAAGUGCUGACCGUGGAGUACAAGCCGGACGUGAGCCUGCUGAGCGGCCAGGGCUUCCGGCCUUGGGGGGUCAAGCCCAUCGGGGUGCAGGUGGUCCUCAGGGCUCAGCUCCACCUCCGCCUGGCCAACAUCGGCCACCGGAGUGAACGGGGGCUGCGGAGAUCGCACUCCUUACCCCCCUCUUGCAGACGGGUCAUCUCCUCACAGGACGGGGCCAGAGGCUUCCCUGGUGGCAGUUUGGUCUCCAUCAACCCUCACAGGGUCGGAAACGUGUGCCAAGCUAAAAAACUGGCCGAGGUGGACAGCGAGCUGGCCGCUCUCCUUUUUUCCCACUUGCGGGAAGUCAGCACCGCCUUGCAGCCCGCCAACCAGGAAGCCGGCCUCACCCGACGCCGAAAGUUGGAGAGGAUGCUUUCAGUCCGGAGGAAGGAAUCCCAGGAGGGCGACAUUGGGAGGAAAAGCAGCUUCAUCUUGGGGCGCCAUGAGGACCGGGUUCAGCACUCCCGAGACCUCCAGCUGAUCGAGGCGUACCGGGAGCGCAUCAAAGCCGAGAGCAUCACCUCCAUGCUCUGCCAAGCCAUCACCACCCACCACACCGUCUACGCCACGUUGGGCACGGCCGAGUUCUUUGAGUUCGCCCUGAAGAAUCCCUACAGCGUCCAGCACACGGUGACCAUCAGGAUAGACAACCCAGAACUCAGCAUCAUCUUGGACGUCAGAGAGUGGAGGCGCUUUAAAGAACUGACCCAAACGGUCACACCAUUGGAGGAGGACAUGUUUCAUCUUCACAAUGGCCUCACCCCUCAGGUCUACCUCCGUCCCAAGGAGACGGUCUACAUCCCCUUCAAGUACCAGACCUUCUCCAUGGAGCAGACAGCCAUGAUGCAGCAAGGUCCCCCCGAGCUGACCUCUAAGGAAGGUGAGAAGAUCUGCACGGCCACCUCUUCCGGAAAGUUCAGCGAGACGCUGCGCAUCAAGGUGUCCUUCACGGUGGGCAGCGGCAAGCCCCUCGCCAUCCUGACCGUCAGCGUGGAAUCCCAGCCCCACGCCGUGGAUCAGACCUUCCGCUUCUACCACCCGGAGCUGACCUUCCUGAAGAAAUCCAUCCGCCUGCCUCUGUGGCACACGCUCCCAGGGGCUCCUGUAGGUGUUCCUGGGGGAGACCUUGAGAUGUUUGUCCGCUGCAGUGACCCCAACGUCAUCUGUGAGACCAAGAAGAUGGGACCUGGAGAACCCCAGGACAUCUUUCUGAAAGUUGCUGCGGGCUCAAGUCCCCAAAUCCAGAGAUUCUUCGUGUUGAUUUAUACGGACCCUUGGCUGGCCGCCCCCAUCCAGGUCUGGCAGUUCUACCUCCACUGCCUGCAGUGGGUCGAGGCCAGCUGUGUCCUGGGUCAGCUGACCCGGCUUUCCUUGGUGCUCCGGGGGACCCACGCCCUCCGUAAGGUGAAGGCCUUCACCUCCCACCCCCACGAGAUGAAGCUGGAACCGGACGGGGUCUUCGUCCUGCCGGCCAACGGGGUCCAGGACCUGCACCUCGGACUGCAGCCACAGAGCGCCGGCAGCCGCUUCAUCUACCUCAACUUGGUGGACGUUGAGUUCCACCAGCUGGUCUCCACCUGGCUGGUCUCCAUGUCCUGCAGGCAGCCCUUCAUCUCCAAGGCGUUCGAAAUCCUGCUGCCUUCCGGGGGAGGGAAAGGUUCCAACAAGAAGAUCACCUACAGCAACUCCUACCCCUCUCGGCGGGCCUAUUUCCUGCACACCAACCAUCCGGAUUUGCUGCAUUUUAAGGAGGACUCCUUUGAGGCUGAGCGAUUCUUCUUCCGCUGGUUUGUCAGAUCAGAGGCAGAAAAAUAUGGCAUAAACUGACAGUUGCAGAAACAGAGAAGAUGGUUUGAACAUCAAGGAGGGCCUGGAGAGCCACCAUGAGGAGGAGGCCAGCAAAAAUGGGGGAAUCGGGUUUUCCCGUUGAUUUUGCUGGGCAGAAGGUCGCAGAAAGGGGAUCACGUGACCCCGGGAGUCUGCGACCGUCAGAAAUACGAGUCGGUUGCCAAGCGUCUCAGUUUGGAUCACCUGAGCCUGCAAAGAUGCCGCAAAGUGGGGUCUAAGUAUCUUCCAAGAAGUCUACUUCCCAUCAUGGAUCUUCUUCCAAUCACGACUGGGGCGUGUCUCCACCCAGAAGCAAAUUGUUGGGUAGAUAUUAGUUCUUCUGGAGACAGGGUGGUCUGCCCACGGAGGAGACUCUGGAAUAGUGACAAGGCUGUGAAUCGCCUUAAGGACACUCAGCUCCAGCAUGGAAAAUGGAAGUGUUAUUGUUGUUGUGUCUCUCUCCAGCUCUGGCUGUGACACCUCUUUGUCCCACCACAUGCUGUGCUGAGAAGCGUGGCUUGUUCCGUGCAGAAGCUCUGCUCGAUCAAUCAGGGAUGUGGAGACAGCUGGAAAAUUACAGCUACGCUGAGUCCAACUUUGUCAGAGGCAAACCCCAGGGAGAAAUCCACACUGAUGUGUUUCAAGAUCACCAUGGCAACAGAGACUCCUGGGAACUCCGGGGGGGGGGGAAAACCAGUGCUUGGAAGCUGAGGGAGAUGUUUGAUGGAGCAACCGAGAGGGAAGGCAGAGCAGGGGGGUUACGUGGAGACCCACACAAGUAAACACCCAACACCCAGGUCUCAGAACUUCAUCAGCCGCAAAGGCCUCCCAGCCGUCAGCAACAUCUCCAAAUACGCCGGCGUAAAGCUAAAAAAAAGGAUCUUUUGUCCUCCACUUCAAAAAUCAUGACCAGUGAUCUGAUUCAGCACCGUGCAGCUUCCACCGAGUGGAGAUUUCUUCCUUAACUCCACCGCUGAUCUCCAACGCUUUUAUUUACCAACUCCGUGGGGAAGCUCACCGUCCUUUCAACGCCGCCGUGGGAGAUAUCUUUCCAACCCUCAGCGAGAAAGAGAGAGAGAAAAAUUAAUAGCUGGCUAAAAACAACAGGGAGCGUUUCCAGUGACAAAUGUCUCCCCCGUGGGCUGUUCUGAAGUUUAAAAGUCCAGUGGAAGAACCAUCCAGCUGUGAGACCAGCAAGGCAACAGAUGUUUCCGCCAAGCUACCUUUGGUACGCAGAGAGAUUUUGUUCCAGAUCAAGACGCACUUUUGGGGUUCACCAAUGGAAUCCUGUUGAGAAGAAAAGCCUCUUAUUACGCUUCUCACGCUCAGCCACCAUGCCUACGGACCAACGUUGAGAUCUUUUCAUCCAACCUCGCCUUCCACCUCCGCUACAUUCUGCAGCACUUCAGCAGAACCGUCUCCGAGCCACCCUUGGGUAAUCUUUCAUCUUAUUUUUCUGUCUUGCUUGAUCAACUCUGAGAAAUGGAACAGCUGAGAAUCCUCACCACAGAAGGUUCUGUGAUGGGGUCUCCUGACCUCCUCCUACAAUUCCUCCAUCUUACGCUCCACCACGAGCACCAAACAAUGUUUCUUUGGAAACAAGCUGUGUUUCUCGCCCGUUUCGUGUCCAUUUGAUGGAGUAAGAGACCCAUCAAACAAGAGAUUCAUUGAAAGGAACCCAUCUCAGACAGAUGGACCGAGACGGAAUCAACUCCUCCACGGCUUCAGCUACUCCGGAAUGGGAUGGAACCUGAAGACCAGGCCUGAAAAACUUGACUGUCUGGAGAGAAGAGAAGCAGGAUGCCGGGGUUGUGACUGUGUGCAUCUCACAACUGCGCUAGAGAGUGUGCAUGGCUUUCCUACUCCUGCCUCUCACCACCACCCCACCACCCCCAGGAGAGGAGUCUUCAAAUUGCAUUAAGCACCAGGCCGUCCGAAAAAAAUGAACACUCUUCACAUCUUGAUGAGAAUACAAUGGCCGGUUGUGUUUCCCAGCGUCCUUCUGCUGCACCCGAGGAGGGAGAGGCCGUUGUCAUGGAGCUGAACACAAGCCAACAUAGACACUGGAAACACCUUGAUUGAAUCCAACCAAGUAUUAGAUUAUCUUCUUCGGAAACUGCCCGAAUAAGACGACCUUCAUCCUACUGCGCACUUCGCCCACCCGGAUUUUGAGAGGCGCAAAGAACGCAUGGUUUUCAGUUCCCUUCCCGCCUUCUACUGCACCAGCUUCCUCGCCCGAUUUCGUAUGAUCUGCGCGUCUCCAAAGUCUUCUCUGGCCUCUUCAUCUAACUCCAUCAAAAGGCGGGCGAUUGUCAUUCACGGGAGCCAAGGAAGGACAGGGAGACGCCGGCUGCAAACACCUGAUUGGAAUACUUGUUUCUCCCACAAGCAGAGAAAACUGUGUCAGGCCCAUUGUUGGUUGUGUGUGUGUGUGUGUGUUUUUCCCCUUCUUUCUCGACGCUGUUAUGACCGGGACUCUUUUCGCCCACUGCACAGACUGGGAAGCGACACAGAUGCUUAUAUUUCACAUCAAGGUUGAAGACGAAACGCCUCGGUUUUCUGAAAGGCCAGGGCAAGUCAGGCUUCAGCUGGGAUUAGAACACAGAACCUGGAAUGAUCGGAUUGGAAGGGACCUUGGAGGUCUUCUAGUCCAACCCUCUAUUCGAGCAAGAGACCCUGGACCACCCCAGUCAAAAUGUCCUCCAGCUUCUCCUUGAGGACCUCCAGGGAUGGAGCACCCACAACUUCUGAAGGCAAGUCGUUCUUCUCACCGAGGGGCCAGGGGGAAGCGGGACUCUCUUGACAACUUGUGUUCCUAAUUUAACAAUUGCAGGGAGUCACUUCACAACCGUGUCCGGAAAAGUUGUCAAAUGGGGGCAAAACUCACUUAACAACGGUCUCGCCUAGCAACAGAAGUUUUGGGCUCCACCGUGGUCGUAAGUGGAGGCAGGAGAGACCCAGCCGGAUCCAUGCAGAGAAAAACAAUAUAUAAUCUUAACAAGA